rnacentral:snoRNA from 11 species
UUCCACAGCUACUGGCCUGCAACUGUUCAGUAUUGUAGCAAUUGCAGUAUUCCAGCUGUGGGAGAUUAGCAGUUACACCUAUAUGAUUCUCCUUUCAAAUGGGGAGAUAAUUGACGUGUAACGGACAAGA